rnacentral:rRNA from 1 species
UACGUAGGGGGCAAGCGUUGUCCGGAUUCAUUGGGCGUAAAGAGCGUGUAGGCGGCCAGGUAGGUCGGUUGUGAAACUGGAGGCUCAACCUUCAGACGUCGACCGAAACCAUCUGGCUAGAGUCCGGGAGAGGAGAGUGGAAUUCCUGGUGUAGCGGUGAAAUGCGCAGAUAUCAGGAGGAACACCGGUGGCGAAGGCGGCUUCCUGGCCUGCAACUGACGCUGAGACGCGAAAGCGUGGGGAGCGAACCGG